rnacentral:rRNA from 1 species
AGCCUCUCAAGUGUGUGAGGUGAUGCCUGCCCACUGAAACUUUUAAGGGCCGUGGUAUUCUGACCAUGCAAAGGUAGCAUAAUCAUUUGCCUUCUAAUUAGAGGCUAGAAUGAACGGCUUUACGAGAGACUUGCUGUCUCUGCCAUUGCAAGCGAAGUUAAUCUUUAAGUGAAAAAGCUUAACUAUUCUUGGAGGACGAUAAGACCCUAUAGAUCUUUACACUACUUUUCUCCUAGGGCGGUUGUCAUCUCAGGAGACUUCACGGUGUUCCGUUGGGGCGACGAUGGGAGGAGAAAAAACUCCCAUUUUUUUAAACAAUAAUCACUGACGUUUGAUCCUGUUAUGAAUUAAGAGCAAGUUACCUUAGGGAUAACAGCGUAAUCCUUCUUGAGAGACCAAAUCGACAGAAGGGUUUGCGACCUCGAUGUUGGUUCAGGGAAUCUCUCUGGCGCAGCAGCAAGCAGAGGUAGUCUGUUCGACUAUUAAUCCCCU